rnacentral:lncRNA from 1 species
CCAGCAGUACGGACGAGGUGCUGUCCCUGGAGGAGAAAGACCUGAGGGACCGGGAGAGGCGCAUGGCCAAUAACGCGCGGGAGCGGGUGCGCGUGCGGGAUAUUAACGAGGCCUUCCGGGAGCUGGGGCGCAUGUGCCAGAUGCACCUCAAGUCGGACAAAGCGCAGACCAAGCUGCUCAUCCUGCAGCAGGCCGUGCAGGUCAUCCUGGGGCUGGAGCAGCAGGUGCGAGAGCGGAACCUGAAUCCCAAAGCAGCCUGUUUGAAACGGCGAGAAGAGGAAAAGGUGUCAGGUGUGGUUGGAGACCCCCAGAUGGUGCUUUCAGCUCCCCACCCAGGCCUGAGCGAAGCCCACAACCCCGCCGGGCACAUGUGAAAGUAAACAAAACCUGAAAGCAAGCAACAAAACAUACACUUUGUCAGAGAAGAAAAAAAUGCCUUAACUAUAAAAAGCGGAGAAAUGGAAACAUAUCACUCAAGGGGGAUGCUGUGGAAACCUGGCUUAUUCUUCUAAAGCCACCAGCAAAUUGUGCCUAAGCGAAAUAUUUUUUUUAAGGAAAAUAAAAACAUUAGUUACAAGAUUUUUUUUUUCUUAAUGUAGAUGAAAAUUAGCAAGGAUGCUGCCUUUGGUCUCUGGUUUUUUUAAGCUUUUUUUGCAUAUGUUUUGUAAGCAACAAAUUUUUUUGUAUAAAAGUCCCGUGUCUCUCGCUAUUUCUGCUGCUGUUCCUAGACUGAGCAUUGCAUUUCUUGAUCAACCAGAUGAUUAAACGUUGUAUUAAAAAGACCCCGUGUAAACCUGAGCCCCCCCGUCCCCCCCCCCCCCCGGAAGCCACUGCACACAGACAGAACGGGGACAGGCGGCGGGUCUUUUGUUUUUUUGAUGUUGGGGGUUCUCUUGGUUUUGUCAUGUGGAAAGUGAUGCGUGGGCGUUCCCUGAUGAAGGCACCUUGGGGCUUCCCUGCCGCAUCCUCUCCCCUCAGGAAGGGGACUGACCUGGGCUUGGGGGAAGGGACGUCAGCAAGGUGGCUCUGACCCUCCCAGGUGACUCUGCCAAGCAGCUGUGGCCCCCAGGGCUACCCUACACAACGCCCUCCCCAGGCCCCCCUAAGCUGCUCUCCCUUGGAACCUGCACAGCUCUCUGAAAUGGGGCAUUUUGUUGGGACCAGUGACCCCUGGCAUGGGGACCACACCCUGGAGCCCGGUGCUGGGGACCUCCUGGACACCCUGUCCUUCACUCCUUUGCCCCAGGGACCCAGGCUCAUGCUCUGAACUCUGGCUGAGAGGAUGCUGCUCAGGAGCCAGCACAGGACACCCCCCACCCCACCCCACCAUGUCCCCAUUACACCAGAGGGCCAUCGUGACGUAGACAGGAUGCCAGGGGCCUGGCCAGCCUCCCCCAAUGCUGGGGAGCAUCCCUGGGCCUGGGGCCACACCUGCUGCCCUCCCUCUGUGUGGUCCAAGGGCAAGAGUGGCUGGAGCCGGGGGACUGUGCUGGUCUGAGCCCCACGAAGGCCUUGGGCUGUGCGUCCGACCCUGCUGCAGAACCAGCAGGGUGUCCCCUCGGGCCCAUCUGUGUCCCAUGUCCCAGCACCCAGGCCUCUCUCCAGGUCUCCUUUUCUGGUCUUUUGCCAUGAGGGUAACCAGCUCUUCCCAGCUGGCUGGGGACUGUCUUGGGUUUAAAACUGCAAGUCUCCUACCCUGGGAUCCCAUCCAGUUCCACACGAACUAGGGCAGUGGUCACUGUGGCACCCAGGUGUGGGCCUGGCUAGCUGGGGGCCUUCAUGUGCCCUUCAUGCCCCUCCCUGCAUUGAGGCCUUGUGGACCCCUGGGCUGGCUGUGUUCAUCCCCGCUGCAGGUCGGGCGUCUCCCCCCGUGCCACUCCUGAGACUCCCACCGUUACCCCCAGGAGAUCCUGGACUGCCUGACUCCCCUCCCCAGACUGGCUUGGGAGCCUGGGCCCCAUGGUAGAUGCAAGGGAAACCUCAAGGCCAGCUCAAUGCCUGGUAUCUGCCCCCAGUCCAGGCCAGGCGGAGGGGAGGGGCUGUCCGGCUGCCUCUCCCUUCUCGGUGGCUUCCCCUACGCCCUGGGAGUUUGAUCUCUUAAGGGAACUUGCCUCUCCCUCUUGUUUUGCUCCUGGCCCUGCCCCUAGGUCUGGGUGGGCAGUGGCCCCAUAGCCUCUGGAACUGUGCGUUCUGCAUAGAAUUCAAACGAGAUUCACCCAGCGCGAGGAGGAAGAAACAGCAGUUCCUGGGAACCACAAUUAUGGGGGGUGGGGGGUGUGAUCUGAGUGCCUCAAGAUGGUUUUCAAAAAAAUUUUUUUAAAGAAAAUAAUUGUAUACGUGUCAACACAGCUGGCUGGAUGAUUGGGACUUUAAAACGACCCUCUUUCAGGUGGAUUCAGAGACCUGUCCUGUAUAUAACAGCACUGUAGCAAUAAACGUGACAUUUUAUAACG